UACGUAGGGUGCAAGCGUUGUCCGGAAUUAUUGGGCGUAAAGGGCUCGUAGGCGGUUUGUUGCGUCGGGAGUGAAAACUACAGGGCUUAACCCUGAGCCUGCUUCCGAUAACGGGCAGACUAGAGGUAUGCAGGGGAGAACGGAAUUCCUGGUGUAGGCGGUGAAAUGCGCAGAUAUCAGGAGGAACACCGGUGGCGAAGGCGGUUCUCUGGGCAUUACCUGACGCUGAGGAGCGAAAGUGUGGGGAGGCGAACAGG
rnacentral:rRNA from 1 species